AUACGUAGGGAGCGAGCGUUGUCCGGAAUUACUGGGUGUAAAGGGAGCGUAGGCGGGAGUGCAAGUCAGAUGUGAAAUACAUGGGCUCAACCCAUGGGCUGCAUUCGAAACUGCAUUUCUUGAGUGAAGUAGAGGUAAGCGGAAUUCCUGGUGUAGCGGUUAAAUGCGUAGAUAUCAGGAGGAACACCGGUGGCGAAGGCGGCUUACUGGGCUUUUACUGACGCUGAGGCUCGAAAGCGUGGGGAGCAAACAGGAUUAGAUACCCUGGUAGUCCACGCUGUAAACGAUGAUUACUAGGUGUGGGGGGACUGACCCCUUCCGUGCCGCAGUUAACACAAUAAGUAAUCCACCUGGGGAGUACGGCCGCAAGGUUGAAACUCAAAUGAAUUGACGGGG
rnacentral:rRNA from 1 species